AAAUGGUUUAAAGUGCAUUUGAUG
rnacentral:siRNA from 1 species